rnacentral:rRNA from 1 species
AACACAUGCAAGUCGAACGGUAACAGGUCUUCGGAUGCUGACGAGUGGCGGACGGGUGAGUAAUGCGUAGGAAUCUGUCUUUUAGUGGGGGACAACCCAGGGAAACUUGGGCUAAUACCGCAUGAGCCCUGAGGGGGAAAGCGGGGGAUCUUCGGACCUCGCGCUAAGAGAGGAGCCUACGUCCGAUUAGCUAGUUGGCGGGGUAAAGGCCCACCAAGGCGACGAUCGGUAGCUGGUCUGAGAGGACGACCAGCCACACUGGGACUGAGACACGGCCCAGACUCCUACGGGAGGCAGCAGUGGGGAAUUUUUCGCAAUGAGGGCAACCCUGACCAAGCAAUGCCGCGUGGAUGAAGAAGGCCUUCGGGUUGUAAAGUCCUUUCGUGGAGGACGAAAAGGUGGGUUCUAAUACAAUCUGCUAUUGACGUGAAUCCAAGAAGAAGCACCGGCUAACUCCGUGCCAGCAGCCGCGGUAAUAC